GCAGCAGCGCUGCCAAUUAACAUUAUUCAAAGUCAGGAAUUUCAUGUUAUGCUGAUUCAAAAACCACCCGAAAUUCUAAAUAAAUGGAAUGCAGCCGAUAGUUUCAUUAAGAAAAAAAGUACUUAGCUUGCAAUCUAGUACACAUAAUAGCUUGCAAUCUAGUACACAUAAACUAUUCUCAAUUGCAUCCUGUGCUGCUAGUCGAGCUCGAGCUCUACAGAAGGCAAACCAUUCCACAUGAAUUGCAGGGAUUCCGUCGGCAUCUUCCCAAUAUCCUGGAAACU
rnacentral:lncRNA from 1 species